rnacentral:rRNA from 1 species
AAGCGAGAUGGUGACAUGGAGCAAAUCCCAAAAAUAACGUCCCAGUUCGGAUUGCAGCCUGCAACUCGGCUGCAUGAAGCUGGAAUCGCUAGUAAUCGCGGAUCAGAAUGCCGCGGUGAAUACGUUCCCGGGUCUUGUACACACCGCCCGUCACACCAUGGGAGUAGGUAAUGCCCGAAGUCGGUGACCUAACCGGAAGGAAGGAGCCGCCGAAGGCAGGACUUAUAACUGGGGUGAAGUCGUAACAAGGUAAC